rnacentral:rRNA from 1 species
UACGUAGGGCGCAAGCGUUAUCCGGAAUUAUUGGGCGUAAAGAGCUCGUAGGCGGUUUGUCGCGUCUGCCGUGAAAGUCCGGGGCUCAACCCCGGAUCUGCGGUGGGUACGGGCAGACUAGAGUGAUGUAGGGGAGACUGGAAUUCCUGGUGUAGCGGUGAGAUGCGCAGAUAUCAGGAGGAACACCGAUGGCGAAGGCAGGUCUCUGGGCAUUAACUGACGCUGAGGAGCGAAAGCAUGGGGAGCGAACAGG